rnacentral:rRNA from 1 species
AUUGAACGCUGGCGGCAGGCCUAACACAUGCAAGUCGAGCGGAUGAGAGGAGCUUGCUCUUUGAUUCAGCGGCGGACGGGUGAGUAAUGCCUAGGAAUCUGCCUGGUAGUGGGGGAUAACGUUCGGAAACGGACGCUAAUACCGCAUACGUCCUACGGGAGAAAGCAGGGGACCUUCGGGCCUUGCGCUAUCAGAUGAGCCUAGGUCGGAUUAGCUAGUUGGUGAGGUAAUGGCUCACCAAGGCGACGAUCCGUAACUGGUCUGAGAGGAUGAUCAGUCACACUGGAACUGAGACACGGUCCAGACUCCUACGGGUGGCAG